CACGUAGGGCGCAAGCGUUUGUCCGGAAUUAUUGGGCGUAAAGAGCUCGUAGGCGGACUGUUGCGUCCGCUGUGAAAAGCUGGGGCUUAACCCUGGCCUUGCAGUGGAUACGGGCAGACUAGAGGUAGGUAGGGGAGAAUGGAAUUCCUGGUGUAGCGGUGAAAUGCGUAGAUAUCAGGAGGAACACCGGUGGCGAAGGCGGCUAUCUGGACAGAGUCUGACGCUGAGGCGCGAAAGCUAGGGGAGCAAACAGG
rnacentral:rRNA from 1 species